GACCAAGGAGUCUAACAUGUGAGCGAGCGAUUGAGAUUGUCGAAUCUCAAACGCGCAAUGAAAGUGAAGUGUCGUCUGACGGCACGAGCGGAGAUCCGUCGUCACUCGUGGCGGCGGCGCACCCGCGGGCCACGCCAUCGGCUGGCUUGCUCUUCUGAGCACUGCUGAGGCGUGGACCUAGAGCCCACACGUUGGGACCCGAAAGAUGGUGAACUAUGCCUGGCCAGGAUGAAGCCAGAGGAAACUCUGGUGGAGGUCCGCCGCGAUUCUGACGUGCAAAUCGAUCGUCUGAGCUGGGUAUAGGGGCGAAAGACCAAUCGAACCAUCUAGUAGCUGGUUCCGCCCGAAGUUUCCCUCAGGAUAGCUGGCGCUCGUGUGAUACGGAGUUUCAUCCGGUAAAGCGAAUGAUCAGAGGAACUGGGCUCCCUGCGAGCUCAACCUAUUCUCAAACUUUCAAUGGGUGAGACGUCUCGCUGGCUUCACUGCAGCGACGACUCUGAAUCCGAGUGCCCAGUGGGCCACUUUUG
rnacentral:rRNA from 1 species